rnacentral:rRNA from 1 species
AUUGAACGCUGGCGGCAGGCCUAACACAUGCCAGUCGAGCGGAUGAAGGGAGCUUGCUCCUGGAUUCAGCGGCGGACGGGUGAGUAAUGCCUAGGAAUCUGCCUGGUAGUGGGGGAUAACGUCCGGUAACGGGCGCUAAUACCGCAUACGUCCUGAGGGAGAAAGUGGGGGAUCUUCGGACCUCACGCUAUCAGAUGAGCCUAGGUCGGAUUAGCUAGUUGGUGGGGUAAAGGCCUACCAAGGCGACGAUCCGUAACUGGUCUGAGAGGAUGAUCAGUCACACUGGAACUGAGACACGGUCCAGACUCCUACGGGAGGCAGCAGUGGGGAAUAUUGGACAAUGGGCGAAAGCCUGAUCCAGCCAUGCCGCGUGUGUGAAGAAGGUCUUCGGAUUGUAAAGCACUUUAAGUUGGGAGGAAGGGCAGUAAGUUAAUACCUUGCUGUUUUGACGUUACCAACAGAAUAAGCACCGGCUAACUUCGUG